rnacentral:rRNA from 1 species
GAGGGGUCCGCGUCCGAUUAGCUAGUUGGUAGGGUAAUGGCCUACCAAGGCGACGAUCGGUAGCCGGCCUGAGAGGGUGAUCGGCCACACUGGAACUGAGACACGGUCCAGACUCCUACGGGAGGCAGCAGUGGGGAAUUUUGCGCAAUGGGCUAACGCCUGACGCAGCAACGCCGCGUGGAGGAUGAAGGUCUUUGGAUUGUAAACUCCUGUCAGCAGGGAAAAAGCGAAUCGGCCUAACACGCCGGUGAGUUGAUUGUACCUGCAGAGGAAGCCCCGGCUAACUCUGUGCCAGCAGCCGCGGUAAUACAGAGGGGGCAAGCGUUAUUCGGAAUUAUUGGGCGUAAAGGGCGCGUAGGCGGCUUGGCAAGUGGAUGGUGAAAUCCCUCGGCUUAACCGAGGAACUGCCGUCCAAACUGCUUUGCUUGAGGCCGGGAGAGGCGAGUGGAAUUCCCAGUGUAGCGGUGAAAUGCGCAGAUAUUGGGAGGAACACCAGUGGCGAAGGCGGCUCGCUGGACCGGUUCUGACGCUGAGGCGCGAAAGCGUGGGGAGCAAACGGGAUUAGAUACCCCGGUAGUCCACGCCGUAAACGAUGAGUGCUUGGUGU